rnacentral:snRNA from 1 species
AGCCAUGCAGUGAGUACAAAGCGAACUAUUCUUCGCCUUUUACUAAAGAAUACCGUGUGCUCGCUGCCCAAAGUGGCAUACGCUUAUUUUUGGAGAGUCUCUUUUUUUAUAUAAGGGCU